GGAUUGUUAGCUCAGUUGGUUUAGAGCGCUGCCUCGACAAGGCAGAGGUCACUGGUUCGAGCCCAGUACGGUCCAC
rnacentral:tRNA from 1 species